AAUAUACUCCCUCCGUCUCAAAAUUCUUGUCUUAGAUUUGUCUAAAUACGGAUGUAUCAAGUCACGUUUUAGUAUUAGAUACAUCCGUAUCUAGACAAAUAUAAGACAAUAAUUUUAGGACGGAGAGAGUAUAAA
rnacentral:pre_miRNA from 1 species